rnacentral:rRNA from 1 species
GUCGAGUCGGCCUGCGCGGAAGAUGUAACGGGGCUAAGUAGUAAACCGAAGCUGCGGCAAUGUGCUUUUGCACAUUGGGUAGGGGAGCGUUCUGUAAGCGGUUGAAGGUGUGUGGUAACGCAUGCUGGACGUAUCAGAAGUGCGAAUGCUGACAUGAGUAACGAUAAAGGGGGUGAAAAACCUCCUCGCCGGAAGACCAAGGGUUCCUGUCCAACGUUAAUCGGGGCAGGGUAAGUCGACCCCUAAGGCGAGGCCGAAAGGCGUAGUCGAUGGGAAACGGGUUAAUAUU